ACAGGGCUGGACAGGCCACAGCCCAUUCCCCACUCCUGCGUCCUCAGCUGAGGAGUGGCCAGUGCUGCAGUCGGCCACCAGGGACACUCAGUGGGUACAAGACAUGACCCCUUGUAGGUCUGCAUCUUGUGGCCUCUGAAACCCCAUGAAGUAUCAGGAGCAGGAGCCACCACCCCAGAUGGCACCCAGUGACCUGGCUUUCGACGCCAUUCUGCCUUGAGGGAAGCGUCCAACUUUCCUAAGUGGAACCACACAGUGUGGACUUCUGUGUCUGCCUCUUGCUUGGCCGUGAGUCUGGGAGGCCGGCCUGUGGCUGGUGUGCAGGUUCCUAUGGCCCUGGGUGGACAAUGGUAGCAGGGAGGGGAACAGCAUCGGUGACAAGGCGGCUCUGGGACUGAGCCCUGGGAGAGGGGAGCAAGUGCUCCCCUGGGGGUGAGUCUGUUGAGCUCCUGACUGGUGGGUGCAGGCCCCUGUGCCGCUGUGACCUCUCCUUGCCCGUGGGUGUGGUGCCUCCGACGCCAAGGCUGUUCUUACUAUCGUCCUCCAGCGACUUGGACACCCUCAAAACCCUCACCAGGCACCAAAUUGGCUGAUGCUCUUGAUCUCGGACUUGCCAGCGUGCAGAACUGCAGAAAUGAAUCUCUGUUGCUUGCAAGCCCCCCAAGCCUGUGGUAUUUGGUUGCAGUAGCACUAAUGACUAAAACAGCCAUGAUCCUCCCAACAGGCCUGUUGACAACUCCGACGGGUGCUGGGGAGAGGCGGAGAAGGGCACAGAGCACCUGCUGUGAUGAAAUCAGCUUUGACCUCGGGACACCCUGGAAGGGUCCUGAAGCCCCCAGGCUACUUGGAAGGACUAAGCAUGUGGGUGCGAGUGGCCCGGGGCGGGGGUGGCAGCCGGCGCUGUUUGCAUUGGGCAUGUUUAUAGACUUGAUUUCUCUCCACACUUCAUUCCAAGAGAUAGACACUCAAACUAUGAAAAUUGUUUUUAUUUUAAAUCAAAGUACCAGGCAGAUACUUGCAAAACAACAUACAAAGCAAAACUCAAACACGGCCCUUCCCCAGGGCGCCUCUGAGCAGGCACAGAGAAGUUCUCGCCCUCUGCAAAAUCCAGUCCAAUCCUAUCUUCUCAGAAAACCAAACCAAAGGCAGCCAUGAAAACCUGUGUUCUGUAUGUGGUUGAGAAGGUCUUCCUCUCUGAGGACUGGCUGGCCCCAAGUGCAGAACUGGGAGGUCCAGGGAACCCUGCCCCGGAGGAGCCAGCAGGACCCGGAGGAGCCGGGGGCAGUGCUGACGACCUGCCCGGCCCACUGCAGUGUGGUUCCCGUGCGGAUGGGGGCUUCUCCAGGGCCCUUCCCCAUGCUGGGGCUUGGAACCCCUGCCAGAAGCAGCUGGGUUGGCGGCAGACGUCCCCGAGGGCCUUGGGAAGCACUGGGAAUGGGCUCCCAGCCCUGCUGGAAUGGGGGAUUGGGAAUUAAUUCUGAAGCUGGUUGUGGCUUAUUUUUGUAUGGCUCUGAAAUUAACUUCCUCUCCCAAUGCCUCAAUAGCGGAAGGGCAGGAGCAGAAAAGGUCCCAACCUUGUUCUUAAAAAGAAAGGAAAUGAACCCACAAACCAAUGGAAGUUCUGUUCAGCGAGGGCUGCCAAGGCAGACCCACUCAUGACUUUGACAAAGGGAAGCAGCUGGAAGGUUGCGGGUCCCAGGGUCACAGGCAGCUGUAUUAGCGACAGGUUCUGAGCUGGUGGGGUGGGGGCUACGGGGCCCUCCUGAACCCCGUAAGGUCAUACCGCUGCACGCUGCAGAACUCAACUGGAGUGGAAAUGAGUUUAAAACGGAGUAUGUACAUCAAAAGGUCAACAUCACGCCGAAACCAGCUGACUGUGACAACAGCAAA